UCUAAGCAGAGCCCUUGAAUGGUAAAGCCGCGAAUGGCUCAUUACAACAGCCACAGUUUAUUGGGUCUCCAUUUACUUGGAUAACUGAGCUAAUUGUUGAGCUAAUACACGCACCAAAGCUUCGACCUCACGGGAGGAGCGCAUUUAUUAGAACAAAACCAAUCGGACUUCGGUCCGUCCAUUGGUGAAUCUAAAUAACUUAGCCGAUCGCAUGGUCUCGCACCGGCGACUCACCUUUCAAAUGUCUGCCUUAUCACCUUUCGAUGGUAGUUUAUACGCCUACCAUGGGUUUUACGGGUAACGGAGAAUAAGGGUUCGACUCCGGAGAGGGAGCCUGAGAAACGGCUACCACAUCCAAGGAAGGCAGCAGGCACGCAAAUUACCCACUCCCGGCACGGGGAGGUAGUGACGAAAAAUAACGAGGCGGUUCUCUAUGAGGCCCGCCAUCGGAAUGGGUACAAUC
rnacentral:rRNA from 1 species